rnacentral:rRNA from 1 species
GACGAACGCUGGCGGCGUGCUUAACACAUGCAAGUCGAGCGGUAAGGCCCUUUCGGGGUACGACGAGCGGCGAACGGGUGAGUAACACGUGGGUGACCUGCCCUCAGCUCUGGGAUAAGCCUGGGAAACCGGGUACUAAUACCGGAUAUGACUCCAUGACGCAUGUUGUGGGGUGGAAAGCCUUGUGCGGCUGAGGAUGGGCCCGCGGCCUAUCAGCUUGUUGGUGGGGUGAUGGCCUACCAAGGCGACGACGGGUAGCCGGCCUGAGAGGGCGACCGGCCACACUGGGACUGAGACACGGCCCAGACUCCUACGGGAGGCAGCAGUGGGGAAUCUUGCGCAAUGGGCGAAAGCCUGACGCAGCGACGCCGCGUGAGGGAUGAC